CAGGGGGAUGCUGAAAACCCGGAACAGAGUAGGCA
rfam:Chitinophaga ginsengisegetis strain DSM 18108 genome assembly, contig: LX61DRAFT_scaffold00002.2